rnacentral:RNase_P_RNA from 1 species
CGGGGUGCCUGGGCAAUCGCGAGACCUAAGGUUUCGAGGAAAGUCCGGGCUCCACAGCACAGGGUGGUCGAUAACGUCGACUCAGGGUAACCUGCAGGCCAGUGCCACAGAAAAUAGACCGCCGCAUCUCUGGUGCGGUCAGGGUGAAACGGUGAGGUAAGAGCUCACCAGCGCCCCGGGCGACCGGGGUGGCUCGGUAAACCCCACUCGGAGCAAGGUCAAACAGGGCAUGCUAGUAGCCAGUGCGGCGAAGUGCCCGGGUAGGCUGCUUGAACCCACGAGCAAUGGUGGGUCUAGAUGGAUGAUUGCCGCUCGGCAACGAGUACAGAACCCGGCUUAUAGGGCACCCCGUCCC